rnacentral:snRNA from 1 species
GGAUGUGAGGGCGAUCUGGCUGAGACAUCUGUCACCCUAUUGAUGGCCAGGGUUGAUUUGGCUAAUCUGGCUGGCUAGGUGGGUGUCCUCUUCCUACCUCACCACUCCAUAUGCGUCCCUCCCGAAGCUGCAUGCUAGGUCAAAGAGGACAGUCUUCCCCAAAUAGAGAAGGACAGGUCUUCAGUCGAGGGUAUAGAAUAGCUGAGCUCCCCAAGCUUUCAAGGUCCAUUUGUAGGAGAAUGUAGGGUAGUCAAACUUUCAAGACUCCAGACACAUCCAAAUGAGGCGCUGCAUGUGGCAGUCAUAUAUAUAU